rnacentral:rRNA from 1 species
GACUCUCAACGGUGGAUCACUCGGCUCGCGAGUCGAUGAAGGACGCAGCUAAGUGCGAGAAGUGGUGUGAAUUGCAGAACACAUUGAACGUCGACCUUCGAACGCGAAUGGCGGUCUCGGGUUAAUCCGGGACCACGUCUGCCUCAGGGUUG